GAUUUGUUGUGUGGAGCAAUGUUUCUGCUUAGGCAUUCUAUAUGCUACUAGUUUGUAGAGAGAGCUCUUUAGUACAGCCCUAGAGAUAGAAGAAUCAGCAAUGUUCCAUUUUUAAAGUAUUACUGAAGUAUUGAAAGAGUGGUAAUCAUUUUAGAAGAGGAAUACAUUUUUGUCAGAAAGUAGCCCAUUUCUACCUAUGUGGCAUGAUGCUGUGUACAAAGCACUAC